CAGGUGUCUAUCUGUCUGUUGGUGUUGUUUAUCCUCCAGGUGUCUGUCUGUCUGUUGGUGUUGUUUAUCCUCCAGGUCUCUGUCUGUUGGUGUUGUUUAUCCUCCAGGUGUCUGUCUGUCUGUUGGUGUUGUUUAUCCUCCAGGUGUCUGUCUGUCUGUUGGUGUUGUUUAUCCUCCAGGUCUCUGUCUGUCUGUUGGUGUUGUUUAUCCUCCAGGUGUCUGUCUGUCUGUUGGUGUUGUUUAUCCUCCAGGUGUCUGUCUGUCUGUUGGUGUUGUUUACCCUCCAGGUGUCUGUCUGUCUGUUGGUGUUGUUUAUCCUCCAG
rnacentral:lncRNA from 1 species